GCUAAGACGUGUUGGUCACUGGAACUGCCUUCUCGUCGGCUGUUAACGACGCACGCAAAAACGAGGAAAGGUUGUAAUGGAGAAAUAGAGGCACGGUGACUGGGAGAAAUAAGGGAACGCCUCCCUAAUGCUGGUUCAAUGAGAGUCAUAUGACAUCUGUUACCCCUUGACUCCACAAUUACCUCCUAUGGGAAAUGUUGUGGGUCAUCUCCAGUCUUGGGCUCCCCCAGUACCCACCAGCAUCCUCUCUCAGCA